GCUACCUGAACUGGAGCAAGUUACUCAGCCUCUCUGUGCCUCAGCUUCCUCGUCAGCAAAAUGAGAGUAACAGUAUCUCUUCAGAGGAUGUUGUGAGAACUAAGCAAGCAGAUAAAUGUCAAGCACUUAGAACAGUGCUGGGGACACAGUACUCGCGAGGAAACCCCAAAAUGUCAAAAGGUCGCCGAGAAGAUAACGGGCCUCCUGAAAGCAUGACCAUGGACAAGGGCACCGAUGCACAGGCCGCACUUAGCAGCAGUUCCCAGUGUGGACUAAGCAAACUCCAUUAAUGCAAAUAGCAGACUGGAACUGGGGACAGGACUACACCAGCAAAACUCAGGACGUGGGGCCUGCGGACUAGAACUAGAGACAGGAUUUCAGUGAGGAACCGCGACACUGAACCAAGAGCUAAGGACUGGCACUCGGUUCGAGCCUCCAGUGAUGCUCGUCUGACGUCUUGGAAACCCAGUUAUAUCCCGAGUUUGAGGAAAAGUGUGGAGCUCAAAUGGAGAGGAACUCAUGGCCCUUGGAAACCGUAAGAAAGAGACUGAACUCAAAAGGAGGUUCUGACUUUCCGCAUCUGUUUUCAGGGAAGACCCCAAAGCACUGUCACUCAGAGCAGGAGAAGCCUGAUGCUAGAAAGUGGAGGGUACUUUUGAGAUGAGCCAAUCCCCAGCCCCAACUUUCCCACACCCCCUCGCUCAUAUCCACCCCCACUCCACGCCCUGGGGGCAUCACAGCCUGGAAGCAGGCAAAGACCACGUGGGCCAUGACUGCAAACGAGUUAGCAAAUAGAUCAAGGAAACUGCCUGGCAAAGCAUUUGGGAACACUGUCCUGAGUGCCAGCCAGGUUCCGGAAAGAGUUGAGCUAUCCGUUCUGGUCCCAUGACAGAUCUUUCUAGAAGGAAUGGUGUUAAAAUUCUACUUCAGGCUCCAAGAAAUUAGGGAUUUGCAUAAUGAAAACCCCAGGAAAUAGUAUGAAAUUAGUCCUGGCCACACACAGAAAUCACUGCAGCUGUGUGAGCCCGUGCCUCCAAUGACUCUUUUCUGCUAGGGAAGCACUGGGCGCCUCCCACUGUUGUAGAGUGUGCCCCACUGGGUUCUGGUCAGUUGUGUGUGUGUGUGUGUGUGUGUGUAUUUGCCCCUUCUGAAACAUGGAGAGAUGGUAGAAAAUUCAGUUAUCUUCAUCCCCACGAUGCAGCACUGCCACUGUCAGGAAGCAGAAUCUCAGUAAAUGGUUGUUGGAAGGCUGAAUGAGUGAAAGAACAAAUGAAUAUGGGUAGCUUUGUUCUCUCUGUCUCUCUCACACGCAAACA